rnacentral:lncRNA from 1 species
AAGUAAUGUGUCAACUAUAUAUGUUGUAUAGAAGCAUUGUUAGCUGUACCUGUCUGUCUGGCAUGGUUCAUCUGACCUGGACCUAUUUUUCAAGGUUCAUUGGUCUUUGUUUAGUUAUCUUGGUUAAUGUUAAGUUUAUGUGACAGUUGUAAUAAAGCUUAGCUUUAUACUUAGGACUAUCAACAUUAUAUCAAUGAUUAGUAUAGAAGGCGAGACAUUUCAGCGUGUGCACUCUUGUU